rnacentral:lncRNA from 1 species
GAGCAACUGAAAGCCAGGGCUGACAUGUGCCCGGUUUGUGAGAGCAGCUUGUCCUCUGAAGCAGAUGGCUGAUAAGGAGGAUGUCAGCCCUAGGUGUACUCAUCAGAUUUGUCCUUUUGUCAAUGAAGUUCUAAUGGAGGGUAUUUACUUUCUGCAACCAAGUUUAACAAUUUUAAGGUAAAAAUAUCAAAAUCUAAUUGUGCACAUGGAAGUAAUGAUAUUUCCCCUUUUUGAUUUUGCAAUUGUGCUCCAGCCAUAGUUGUUUUCUGUACUGACAUUUCCAGGGCCCAACCCUGUCUGACUGCUUACAAUAUUUUCUUCUCUCUUUUUUUUUUUUUUUUUUUCUUUUUGGUCUUUUUGAGACAGGGUCUUACUACACAGUUCAGGCUGGCCUUGAGCUCACUUUGUAGCCUAGGCUGGUCUUGAGCUUGCAAUGGUCCUCCUGCCUUAGCUUCCCAAGGCUGGAAUUAUA